GCUGGGUGUGGUCACUCACACCUGUAAUCCUAGCACUUUGGGAGGCUGAGGCGGGAGGAUCACUUGAGUUCAGGAGUUUUGAGACCAGCCUGGGCAACACAGUGAGACCUUGUCUCUA
rnacentral:SRP_RNA from 1 species